GUGUUUUAACAGGGGCUGUCUGUGGGUGUCUAGAAGAUCUGAGGCCUGAGGCCCUGUGGCAGUGGGAGCUGGCUCCUACCUUGGGGUUCUUUGGUGGGUCCUAUUAAAUGCUGUCAGAAUUAUAGGAAAGUACAGGUGAUAGCAGUAGAACAAAAGCAGCCCAAGAUGUCCCCCUGACAGUAGUACCAACAAAUUCCAUGUCACCUGGAGUCAUCAUAUAUGGCUCUUGGUAACCCAAAGACUCACAAUGCACUUGCAAGGUAGCAAGAGGCCUGAGGGCUCUUUGAUCAAGCUGCAUGUUCCCCGGCAUCUUACUGCCUGUAGGCCUUCCAGGCCUUCUUUAAAGUCAAAGAGUUGGUCUUUAGGAGACUUUCCAGCUCUAAAAACCAACUUCUGGGGGCUGGGGUUGUGGCUCAAAGGAAAAGUGCUUGCCUAGCAUGCGCAAGGCACUGAGUUCGAUCUUCAGUACCACAUAAAAAUUAAAUAAAGGUAUUAUGUCCACCUACAAUUAAAGAAUAAAUGUUUAAAAAAAAAUAAAAAACAACUGCUGUUUUAAAAAAAUCUGCCUCCCUUGAUUUAGUUUAAUUUAAUGGCUUCCCUUUGAUCUUAGGAUAAAGACCAAAAUCUUGUCAUAGCCAAAAAGAAGGGACUAGCAUCCUCUGGCAUGCUAGUCCCAUUUGUCUCCCCAGACUCCUCCAUGACACCUUCCUCCUGGUUGUCUCUGCUCUAGCUUCUUCCAGAUCCUCUGCUGGAACUAGUUUGAAACUAGUAGUUCUACCCCAGAGUAUAAACAUCGAAGAAAUUUUCAUAUGGUGCCUAAAUGAGUAUGCAAAUCAACGUUUCCUGCAGUGGAGGCAUCUGCAAGCCCAUUGCUCUGGUAAGCGAGGUGUUCAGGGACAUACUGUGGAGCACUUGCAGCCCUUAGGAGCAAAGGAUCAAAGUUCUAUGGAAGGAGCUUAGGAGCACUCAGUACUGAGUGACAGCAAUGAGAUUUCAUACCAUGCACAUGAUUUUCAAUUUGCAAUGGAGUUAUGAUGGGCCCACAAAAUCCACUGUAAGUUGAAAACAUGGAAAGUAGAAAUGGAUUUAAUGAAUCUAUUCUACUAAACAUCAAGCCUGGCAACACUGCAGACUCUCAGUUGUUUACUCUUGUGAUCUUGAGGCUGACUGGGAGCUGUGGCUUGUUGCUGCCACCCAGCAUUGCAUUAUAAUGAAUAUCACACUGUGUAUUGCUAGCACAGGUCAAGAUCAAAAUUCAAAAUGUGAAGUUUGGUUUCUACUGAGUGCAUAUUUCUUCUGCAUCAUCUCAGGUCAAAAAAACUGUAAGUUCCAUGACUGUAAGUCAGGGACCCUGUAUUCAAUACACACACUUAAAAAUAUAAGACAAAAACCAUUGCCACCCAUCCUGUAAGAGCACAGAGAAACAAAAAUGCACAUUCAACACGUGAAGUAUGCAGAGAAGGGCAUAGCAGUGGCAGAUAAACAGGAUAAAUAAGGGAGGGAAACCCAAGCGGUGAACCACUGAAGAUGCACAGAGUACCACACACAAGACUUGGGCCAACAAUGCUCAGAAAGCUCUCAAUAAACCCCUCCCCCUCCCCAAGGAAACCCGAAACAAAGCCAGUGAGUUGGAAGUUGGGCCAAUGUCCAAAGGGAAAGAAAGAACAGAAGCUGAAGGCCUUUCAUCCUGUCUGAACCAGGAACUGGGAGAGCUGGAGAGAGGCCCGGGCUGCUUGGGAAUCAACACUC
rnacentral:lncRNA from 1 species